CCCCCACACCCCCGGCCCAACCAGCAACGGUGAGGUGAGCAGCCCCCACUCCGCCAGCUGGCCAGCCCUUCCCAUCACGUCCCCAGCACAGCGGGAGGCAGAGUGCGCACAGCCCAGAAGCGGGUCCUGCGCAGCGCCGGUCCCAGGAGGAACCAGAGAAACCCAUCCUCAGCAGGCCAGCCAGGCUCUCCCAACCCGAAGACCGCAGGCAGCCCAGUCAUGUGAUCAGACAGCCUUUGGGUCCUGAUGGGUCACAGGGCUUCUAACAGUGCAGGUUCUGACUCAUCAGAAGCAAUAGAAUUAUAUGAAACCGGAGGAAUUUGAAGAAUCGGGAGAAGUUGAAGAAUCGGGUAUCAGAAAUUUAAAGCAAACCCAAACAUACCAAGUCAGAGCCUCCCCGUUGUCAGCUCUUUAAAAAAAAA